UCAUCAGAUUUUAUGAUGAGCAGCCGGGUUCGGGGUCCCCCAGAAGACAAAUAAAACAUAAUUAGGGAAGACAAAACGAAGAAACAUAGAAGACGAUCAAAAUGUGAAGAAGAGCAAACGCACAGAAGCGCAAAAGCAAAAGGAAAAUCUCAAAGUAAACGAUGUGCACAACUACCUGCAGCCUCAGAGGAAGAGAGACAGGGAGACACUGAUGAUGAUCCAAACCGGUAUAACAAAUAAAUGCAAAGAAACCGAAACAAAAAACGGCAGACAGAAGGAGACAACAGCAUCAGCAGCCAGCGACUAUAAGAAAACAAGAACGGGAAGGCUGACCAUCAGAGGAUCGAAGUUUGGAUACCCCCUAAAAGAAGGAGCGAUUGGGAAGUUAUGAUAAGAUUGAGAACAAUUAUGGGGCAUCCAAAUGUUAGCACUGCAACAGCAAAUGCAAAUGCAAAAGCAAAAACAACACUAAGCCACAAUGCCAAAACGCAGCGAAAGAGAUAAUGACUGACAGACAGAGGAGAUGGAUGGCAGCGAGAGAGAAAGGAAGGGAGUAGAGAAAAGAGCGCCAGUGCAAGCGAGAAAAAGGAAAACGUGCACUGGGCGACAGGUUGAGCGACGGCAACGGCGAAUAUGAAAACAAAAAGGGAAACGGCAACUGGCGUCGUCGGCGUUGGAUGAGGCAUGCAACAAGCGGCAGUAACAGCAACAACAACAA